GAGUGAGACAUGCCUUCUUCCUGCCAUUACAUCACAUCCUGGCUCCACCCCUAGGCGGGUGUAGACACCAUCAAUCCAAGCCCUAGACCAUGAACCAAUCACAGAUGCAUAAUGUAAAGGCAUGAGGUCAGGGGGCCACUGACAUAAACCAUGACAGUGAUGUUUCUCACCUAGGGCUUCAACUUUUAGACAGAGUGUGGUGGUUCUUCAGAUCAGACUGCCCACCUCGAUGUGCCGCUGUGGUGGGUGCUCUCUGUGGUGUCACCGUGGCAGCCACCUGGGUCAGUGAGCUGUGUGCUCACCCCCUAGCCCCGAGCGCUUUCCCUGUGACCAGGCACUCAUUCUUUGGACUCUGCCCUCCCACGUAUUCCUUGUGGGCAGGCAAAGGCAGCUGCGUUCCAGCUGAGGUCUGAGACCUUUACAGGACCUUUAAAGCAUGAUUUGGUGGGGUUCACCCAUAGUUUAAAGAUGUAACUAGGAUGAACAAAGAGAAUGCAGCAGUGCACCACAUGCUGUCAAGGUGAGAGACUGCUGACUUUGGAGGAAUGAAGUCAGGCAGCGUCGCAGCCACAGAGGUGAACAAGGUUUCCUUAAGCGCCGUGUGACACCAGCUGGAGGGAAGCGUGGGGCAUGCGUAGGGGUGAGGUACACUGCAUCCCUGGGAGAUCAAUGAACUCUUCUGAAAUGCCAAUGUGAUCAGAGACCAAGAAGCUGAGGAAGAGUAGGGUUAAUGUGAAGAAUUGCUCAUAUAAAACAGAAACUGGAAAGGCGUAGAGCAAAAGGUAACAUGUCCUCCUCAAUUGGAUCCUAGAUUUAAAAAAACAAAACUGUUUUGAGGAUUUUAUUGAGCUGAUUGGGGAAGUUUGAACUUGGAUUGUACACUUGAUGGUAUUGUGUCAGAGUUAUAUUCUUUGUAGUAAGGGCAUUUUGCUUAUGCAAAAGCAAGUUCUUAUUAUGCAAAAAUAAGAAUAAGGGCUGAGCUACUUAGAACUGAAAGGUCAAGAUAUCUGCAAUUCAUUCUACACACGUGUACACAUGUGUACACACACACAUCAAAAGAGUGAGAUGCAGCUGAUGUGACAAAAUGUUUGAAGGAAUCCAGAAGAAAAACACAAGUAUACGGAGGGCUCUUACCCUGUCCCUUUAGUUUUUCCGUGGAUUUGGACAUUUUCACAAUAAUGAAGUUAGAUAUGCCUCAGGAUAUCUGAAGCCAGGUGGUUUCAAUAAAUUACCAAGGCACUGUGUGAGUGUCCUGUCAUAAGUGUCCCUGUGACUCUCAUUCUGCCCAUGUCCUGAUGGGCAUUGUGUGACAGACACAUCAGGGAAAGUGUGGAAAAUGGAUUAGUUCAUGUCUGCGGGCACUUGCUAUUAUGACUGGCUGGCAAAUGCUGGGAUUAGAGGGCCAGACAGAAGAUAAAUAAAUAAGGGAACCUCAGGAGCCUACCUUAGCCUGGGUACUGACAGCUGCAGCUGCAGAAGGCCCAACCCUGAGGAGAAGUGGAAGAGGCCAUACUGGUGACAGCAGCUGGCCCACGGGGUCCUGAGUGUGUCAGGACGAGGGUUUGCUGCCUGUAGGGGGCUGUGCGGCACACGCUGCCCCACAGAGGCCUCAACAGAGGACUGAGUAGAAGCCAGUGAAGUUGGUUUCCCUUACAAUGGGUAAAUUAUUUUUGUAUUUUGUAUUUAUCCCUUCUGUGAUAUGGGAGUCUAAAUACAAGAAGUUUAAAUUUUAUUUUUUCUUUUGCCUGUUUGGCAAGGGUUUGUCUGAACUGCAAUUUUUUAUAUCCCCAAAAAUGAAGAGGUGCAAGAUAAGUGACUGUCAUUGGUUAAAUUUUAUGUAAUCAACCAUUCUAUGCAAACACUCCAUGAGACCUGAUGUAGUCCACAGAAACAGUUGCAGGAAGUUUUAAUGACAUUACGGGAAUCUGGACUUGGCCUACGCAACAUUAAUUGUGGGACAUCAAUUUCACUGGUUAAGAACCUCCUAGCAGAUCAGUAUGGAAUGUGACCUGGGGCCCUGUGUCUGGGGCUGGCCCCUUCCCCUGUGGUGCUAUCCCCUGCUCUGCUUCUUAGCAGCCAUGAACUGAGCCACUUUGCUCCACUACAUCCUUCCCUCGUGACGUUCCUCCCAUGGAACAAGCUAACCAUGGACUGAAUACUCUGAAACCAGGAGAUAAAUCAGCCUCCUCCCUUAAGCUGUGAGUGCCAGGUGUGGAGACUCAGGGAUGGGAAAGCUAACACAGCCUAAAUGAGCUAGCACAGCUGUGUGUCACGGCCAGAUGUGGGCUCUGAAUGGUUGGGAAAAGAGCUGGUGCCUAUGCUGCUUCUCAUCUCUCAGAUGUGCCCUUUCCAAAGUCUUGGGCCCAAAUUUGCUCAUAAAUUUUUCUCCGUGAAUUGGAGACUGUCUUUGUUCUGAGGAGAUCCUGUGUUUGCUGCUGUCAUGGAUAAUUGUGAUGUCAACUUGCAAGGAUUAAGAAACACCAAGCUGGUUAGUAAAUUCUGGGUAUGUGUGUGGAUGAAGGAUGUGUAAGCCUCACACUGAGGAGGGAAGACCCACCCUUGAUGGGAUGGCCCCAACCAAUAGGAUUAAAGCCUGGACAGAGUGAAAAGGGAAGGGAGAAGGAAGCCUUCCCUUCCCUUCCCUUCAGACGAGUUCUGGUCAACACCAUUGCUUUUAAAUGUUGGUCUGCAAUCCCUUCAAGGUUCCAAAACAGACCUUUCUGAUGCAAAUUUGCAUGGGCCUCUGUAGUCAACUUCAGGCCUUCAUUUUUUGACUGGAUCCCCCAGCUGUGCAGCACACAGGUGGCCAUUCUGCACUCUUCCACUCUAGCUCUGCAGUGGUCCCAUCAGCCUUCUGUGUGAUCCUUAGCAUAUCUUAUAUAUGCAUCUAUUUUUAUUUUAAGUCUGUUCCUCUAGUGAACCCUGACCCAAACAUCUGGGUUGACAGAAUCACAUCAACCAAUUCAUAAUCUGUAGCUGUUGUCUUGGCUCCCAGUGCCACACUUACACUAGGGUCCCCGGCACAGCGUUCCAAGAAGGAUCCAAAGCAAUGGA